rnacentral:rRNA from 1 species
UACGUAGGGUGCAAGCGUUAAUCGGAAUUACUGGGCGUAAAGCGUGCGCAGGCGGUUGUGCAAGACAGAUGUGAAAUCCCCGAGCUUAACUUGGGAACUGCAUUUGUGACUGCACAGCUGGAGUGCGGCAGAGGGGGAUGGAAUUCCGCGUGUAGCAGUGAAAUGCGUAGAUAUGCGGAGGAACACCGAUGGCGAAGGCAAUCCCCUGGGCCUGCACUGACGCUCAUGCACGAAAGCGUGGGGAGCAAACAGG